GGCCUUGUGGUGUAAUGGCAACGCGACCACGUAUAGAAUGCGGGAGAUGACGGGUUCGAGUCCGGUCCAUGGCCA
rnacentral:tRNA from 1 species